AAAUAACUUGCUUUAAUGUGAAAGUAUUGGAACUUUACAAAUGCUUACACAAUGAACUAAAAUUCUUUUCAAUGUGCAAAUUUCAGUUGCCUCAUUCAGCAUUUUGAUCACAUUGCAUCUUUCCUUUAAUUCAUGUUAGGGUCACAUUCCUGACUUCUGUCUGACUGUCUCCUGUCUCCUAACUGCACUGGGAAUUAGCGAUUAGAUUUCUUAAUAAUUGGAAUGUAGAACACUUUUUCACAGCUACUAUAAGUUGUAUUUGCAAUGAACUACUUGUACAAAUUUGUUCUGGAUGUAGUAUCCAAAUCGAUUAGUUG
rnacentral:misc_RNA from 1 species